rnacentral:rRNA from 1 species
GACGAACGCUGGCGGCGUGCCUAAUACAUGCAAGUCGAAUGAACCGCGACUGAGUGCUUGCACUUGGUCAAGGUGAGUGGCGAACGGGUGAGUAACACGUGGGUAACCUACCUCAUAGUGGGGGAUAACAGUCGGAAACGACUGCUAAUACCGCAUAGGACAUGGAAUCACAUGAUUCUGUGAGGAAAGGUGGCGCAAGCUAUCGCUAAGAGAUGGACCCGCGGUGCAUUAGCUAGUUGGUAGGGUAAAGGCCUGCCAAGGCGAUGAUGCAUAGCCGACCUGAGAGGGUGAUCGGCCACAUUGGGACUGAGACACGGCCCAAACUCCUACGGGAGGCAGCAGUAGGGAAUCUUCCGCAAUGGACGCAAGUCUGACGGAGCAACGCCGCGUGAGUGAAGAAGGUCUUCGGAUCGUAAAGCUCUGUUGUUAGAGAAGA